CCAAAUUUAAAACUAAUUGUAAGAGUGAAUUUUAGACUUACAAUCAGUACAAUAGAUCGCGCGGUAUUCGGAAGUAGUGCGCGCGACAGCCGGAAGAGUACGCUAUUAGGCGCGGAAAGUUUUGGUGAGGCGGUUUGAAAUGGAAAUAUUUUGCAAUUCAUCGUGUACAUUAUCCUUAUUAAGAGUGUGUAAUGAGUGCAAAUUUUUGUCGGGAGUGCCGAUUAAAAUGACGGGCGAUUAUCGAAAUGUAUUAUUCAUCGCAGAUGUCUACGAUUAAUGGCGUUUUGUGGAUCAACACUGGUAUAAUAUGGUUUCAGUAAGUACAGAUUGUCAUGUUAUAAACAUAAUUACGUUGUGUAUUUCCCCAAGUGCCAAGAUCAUUUCAUGUUCGUUUUAUUCACUCUGAAUGCAUGUAUAAUAUCGAUUACAACUAUAUGCGUGACUGCUUUGUGAUAGAGAAUAUGUUUGUUUCAGGUUUACGUAUUAUGUACGGCAUGAAAUUCGCGAUAUAAAUUCGUGGCGCAAAUGAAAUAAUCGGAUAACCUAAUUUAGUAGUGUGUCUGUAAGUGCUGGUUUUUGAUAUUUAUUGAUUCUUCAAUGGAGCUGAUGCGGAACAUUGAUGAUCUAAGGCGGAAUUUACAACGGAUGCAACAAAUAUAUUAAUACUCUCUAGCUGAUACAGUUGACGGCAUAUUUAGCUAGGGUACAACGAGAUAAACUUUGUGCGCGUAAUCAGUGCUACGAAAUAUAUUCGUUCCGUUGUGAUAUAACAAAAUGCGCGUCGGGAGUGCCGUUAAUACCGGGAGUGCCGUAAUAGUUUCGCACGAUUUUCGCAUUCGAGUACGCGCGCGAGCAAUGCGUGCG